AAUAAAAACCUAGUGUUGGGCAGCGAGUGAUCAAAUCUGGUGUUGAUUUACAAAUAUUAAAAGCUUUAUCACUUGUUUAGUGAUAAUGCACAGUGUUUCCUUUGGGUGUUCACAUAUAAUCAACAUCUGCGCAUGUGCAGAGCAUUUUCAAUCUCCCGCCCAUCCUACGCUACGCUCUCCUGUCUCAUUGUCUUUAUGGAUUUGCCUGCACAACGGUUCCAAGGACGGCACCAUGUCUGAAAGUGAAGCGGUGAGGCUACUAAAUUCGAUAAUGGACGAUGGAGAUAGACGUUGGACAGUAAAGGCAAGAACACAAUAUAGGGACACUAGAAAAUAUGUAAAACUCAAAGAGCCG